AAAUUAAAAUUCAAAUACUACCUUUUUCUCAAGGAAAACUAAAAUAGAAACUUUUGUGACUUGAGAAAUGGGAAAGUACGUAGAGCUAUUGGAUGCUGGAAUUAGAAUUGCCGCUAGGUUCAAUUCUCACUGUCCCCAAACAUCGCGAAUGUAUUAUCAUCCUCCCACUCCUAGCAAGCUUGAUGAACAACAAUACUCCGAUGACCACGAUCUCCACCACCAUAAUUACGGUGUUUCUAGAGGCGGUGCGACUGGUGGAGGCUCAUCGGCGAUGAUGGGUUUAUUUUUGUCAAAGAGGAUUUAUUGACACUAGUGAUCAUUUCAUUCUUUAUACUCACUAAUUUUGUUCUUUAUUUAUUGCUAAUUGUAAUUAAUUACAAGGAAAACAAACAAAUUAAACCAAUUGUUUGAUGAGUUAUUGUUCACUACUUUAAAUAUUGAAAAAGUAAAUUUUCAUUUGAACAUAUGUUACCCAGAAUCAAGGUGAAACCAAUGCAUUUACUGCUAACAAUCCCGUGAUUUUGCGGAAAAAAAUGAGAGUUCGGAGCCAAAAAGAUCACAUUUUUGAAGCUAAAUUUCCAAAAAAGACAACGAUUUUGGAGAUUAACCAAAAGGGACAAAGAGUGGAGUCCUGGAGAUAAAUGAAUUCCAUUGAUGGUCACACAAACGAUUUUGGUGAUUUACUUGUAGUUCACAUUCCAACAACUAUAAUAUUUUUAUUUUCUUCUUGUCGUGCGAUGUUACACGACUUACAUUUUCGAAAGAAAAAAAUCUUACUCAACUUACUGAAUACUGCCAUUCAUGUUUUCCUCUCUUUGUCGUGCCACUUCACACGACAAGGCAUAAGAUUCUCAUCACUUUUUUGUUUCAUAGAUAAUCUCAGCUCAUAUUUUAAAAA